GUUGGAAAUGUGACACUCCAGGGAAGUCUUGGAUGCAGUGAUCACGAGAUGGUUGAAUUCGAAGUCCUCAAGACAGUGAGAAGAGCAUGCAGCAAGCUCACUGCCCUGGACUUCAAGAGAGCAGACUUUGGCCUCUCCAGGAACCUGCUUAGCAAGGUUCCAUGGGAUAUAGCCCUAGAGGGCAGGGGGGCCCAAGACUUUUGGUUAAUAUUCAAGGAUCACCUGCUACAAGCUCAGGAGUGUUGCAUCCCGACUAGAAGGAAGUGCAGCAGGAGGGCCAGGAAACCCCCUUGGAUGGAUAAGGAGCUGCUGAGAAAAAUUUACAGGAAGAAAAGAGGCUUAUAAAAGGUGGAAGCAAGGACAGGUGGCCUGGAAUGAAUGAGGAACCUCCCCCCCGAGCCGAUCACCGCCUUCCAUCCAGCACCUUGGGCUUGCUCUUAGCACAGGCCUUCCGGAGCACCCUCAAGGCCUCUGCUAUGGCCAUGCCCUGCGUCACUUACACGCCACAGCCACAACUACUGCAAGCGGAAGGAGCUGGAGAUUGGCACCGCCCCCACCCGCUCCAAUCCACUCAGCAAAGCAGUGGCUACAUGACACACGGAAGGACUCAGCACAGAAGGCAGACGUGGGAGCUGGAGAAUGGCCGCCUGGCCUGGGAGCUCAGCUGCCCCAGGGAGCCAUCACUGGAGCCAAGGACAAGCCCUACUGUAGCAGAAGUGAUUUCAACCAGACUCCACAUGGAUGAGACCCUGCAGAGCUCAGUCCCUCCUUGCAGAAGACAUUGUCGUACAGGACCUAAUGAUCUUGAACAGCUGGGAGUAAUUGGAAACACCACCACACUGGCCAGACCAACAGCGUCUUCUGCCUGGAGAACCUACAAACAGGAUCAACAGCACCUAAUGAUGUAACCGUCAACUGUGGCAUGAUCAGGCUCACAUGAAACAGCACAAAAAUAUUAGGUCUGCUUAUGAGAAGUGCUCAUUACAAGAUUCUACACAGGAUGGAAACACUGGCCACCUGUGUUAAAGGGAUGGAAGGCAAUGGUGGAUGAGGCUGAAAGAGAUGUCUUGAUUCUAUGAUUCUAUGAUUUGCAGAAUACCAAGGCCUUUUACCAAGUUCCAUCACUAAAGUGUCACUGCAAAUUAUAUAGCUCAUGCUGUUGAAUUAGGGAAAGGCCCAAACUGCAGACACAUGUGGGAUCCCAAGCUUGCACAUCCUUAAGCUUCACAAAUGCCUACAUACAGGGCUUUGAUCAGAACUUCUCCUUAGUGAAACCUUGUCUCCAGAGUCAACAGUCUAGCUUCCCAGGAUCUUUCAGGGGCACCAGAGUUCACCUAAACCAGUCCCUUUAGAGAGCUAAAGCUCAGGAUCUGAUGGGGAAGGGCAAAAGCAGAGUUUUUCUGUGGAGCCAGAUACAACAUAAAGCAAGGAAUUCUGGCGCACUGGUUGGGGUGGGUAGAGGUUUCCUACUGCACAGUAGAAAAGGCAGAGCUGAGGAUCUGCGUGGCUCUGGGACUCCCAAUAUCCUGGCUCUGUGCUCCACAAAUGCCCUGCCAGAGCUGGUGGGAAGGCCAGAGGUUAGGCCAGCCUGGGAUUUCGAGAGACCUGAUACCAAGGCACAUCAUGGUCAGGUGAUAUGAAGCCAGAGGGCACUGUGGAAAUAGUUGAUCCAUUUGCACUCCUGGGUCUCAAAGAACUGAAACAACACAGACAAAACAGCCUAAGAUCUGUGAGAAGAGAGCAAAUCUCCUCUAUUCUGAUCUCUUCUCAUCCCACUACAAAGAUCUCUGUCCACAGCAAGGAGCAGGUGAUGUUGGUCUUCUGCAGGAAACACCGUAACCAUGAGUCAUAGAAUCAUAGAACCAACUAGGUUGCAAAACACCUCAUCCAGAGAAGAAGUCAUCCCUUUGCACACCCACAUACUUCAAAGAUGAGCAUUAAGUUCUGGAAGGUCUGCAGGGCCAAUGUGGAAGGGGUCACACAGCACACCACUACCUCUGGGGAGAUGAAGCCAGCUUCCUAAGGGUACUGCAUGUUCCUUGGUACCCCACCCAUGGUCCUGCAGUCCCAGCUGACUUCUCUCCCUCAACUAUCAUGCAAUAAAAAAGCAUUGGGGAUCUAUGAAAUCUAAGUG
rnacentral:lncRNA from 14 species